rnacentral:tRNA from 1 species
GGGGGUAUUUGCUAAAUGGGAAAGCAGCUGGCUUUUAACCAGCAGAGAUUUAAUCUCGGACAAGGUUCGAUUCCUUGUGCCCUCA